GGACGACGAUCUGUAGCUGGUCUGAGAGGACGACCAGCCACACUGGGACUGAGACACGGCCCAGACUCCUACGGGAGGCAGCAGUGGGGAAUUUUGGACAAUGGGCGCAAGCCUGAUCCAGCCAUGCCGCGUGCGGGAAGAAGGCCUUCGGGUUGUAAACCGCUUUUGUCAGGGAAGAAACGGCCAUCGCCAAUACCGGUGGCUAAUGACGGUACCUGAAGAAUAAGCACCGGCUAACUACGUGCCAGCAGCCGCGGUAAUACGUAGGGUGCAAGCGUUAAUCGGAAUUACUGGGCGUAAAGCGUGCGCAGGCGGUCAUGCAAGACAGAUGUGAAAUCCCCGGGCUCAACCUGGGAACUGCAUUUGUGACUGCAUGACUUGAGUACGGUAGAGGGGGAUGGAAUUCCGCGUGUAGCAGUGAAAUGCGUAGAUAUGCGGAGGAACACCGAUGGCGAAGGCAAUCCCCUGGACCUGUACUGACGCUCAUGCACGAAAGCGUGGGGAGC
rnacentral:rRNA from 1 species